GUUUUAGAGAUUAACUUGUAAGAAGAACAUUUUCUGAGGUUGACAUAACCAAGUUUUCAGAAUCACUGUUUGGUAUUAUAUUCCCACCCGUACGGCCAACUCGCGCUUGCAGGACUUCUCGCGGGCGGCUCCCUUCCUAUGGAAUAGCCUGCCUCCCUCCAUCAGACUCUCCCCUAGUCUUGCAUCUUUUAAGAAGUGCCUUAAAACCCAU